rnacentral:rRNA from 1 species
GAAGGGUGCAAGCGUUACUCGGAAUUACUGGGCGUAAAGCGUGCGUAGGUGGUGGUUUAAGUCUGCUGUGAAAGCCCUGGGCUCAACCUGGGAAUUGCAGUGGAUACUGGGUCACUAGAGUGUGGUAGAGGGAUGCGGAAUUUCCGGUGUAGCAGUGAAAUGCGUAGAGAUCGGAAGGAACAUCCGUGGCGAAGGCGGCAUCCUGGGCCAACACUGACACUGAGGCACGAAAGCGUGGGGGAGCAAACAGGAUUAGAUACCCUGGUAGUCCACGCCCUAAACGAUGCGAACUGGAUGUUGGGUGCAACUUGGCACCCAGUAUCGAAGCUAACGCGUUAAGUUCGCCGCCUGGGAGUACGGUCGCAAGACUG